AAGCGCAUAUAAGUGCACACCCGGGACCACUAGCGUAUGAACCCAGCGAUGAGCUACGACGGCCCGAAAAUUUCUGCAAGUUCACAAAGUGGAGCUACCUCAGAGAAGAAAAUAGCAACACCUCGGCACGAUGAACGUAAUCGUUGUUUUCGUGCUGGUUUCUUCCGCAGCGAUCGUGACAACACUCCCAAGAAACCGCAAUGGUGUUUACUUGAGCCUGCAACAACAACCUGGUUUGGGAAGAGAAUUGCCAACGCUGCCACCCGAUUUUGGUAAUGCCCCAGGUGGGCUGCCAGGGUUUGGGAGACCACAGCAGCCAUUUCUUCCAUUCAAUGUCACGGAUAGGGAAACAGGAAUACCCGGAGGGAUCCCGUCACUUACGUUUCCACCCAACUUCGCCGAUAACCCCCAACUAGUCCCAGCGAUGCCGGGCUUUCCGUCCUUUCUGCCUUUCCAGAAUAACAGCGACAGCCAGCAAGGAGGCCGGCAAACCCUGCCGCAGUGGCCAACUGUCCCAGGUAAUGUGGGUGGCAGCCAAAGCUGGCCAGGAAUGCGAAGCCUGCCACUACUAUUUCCUUUGAAUAUAAGCCAAAACAUACCUCAAAGUGAAACCCGUUUCUCUUGGCCGCCAUCACCCUAUUCCAAAAGAGAUGGGGGCCGGAACGAAAAUGGCAUACCUGGAAUUGGAAGCCCAAGUCACUCCCAGGACGGUGGGCGUCAUGGAAACCAGCGACCAAAUUUUAUGAGAUCGCCGCCACCGUUUUUUAGGAGUACUUAUGACCGCAGUCCGGCCUCUCUAAAAAGUGGUCUAAGAAGCCCGCCGCCGCUUCCAUUUAUGAGCAACGACGGAUAUAACCAAGAUGGGCAAUCUGAACAUCAGGACGCAACCUCACUACGUGCGCAAGGUGAUACUAAAGAAAGUGAAGAAAACGAACAGGCGUUGAUGGCAGCUGAACAAGAACGGUAAAGUCAGUGCACUUCUCUGCAAAUAAAGAACUCUACACGGGUCUUUUGUUAUUCAA